ACGAGCUGUUCCAAACAGGACGUUGCGCAUGGUGGCUAGGAGUUCCUCAUCUGUGAGAGGGUUUAAGGCCAGAUAGUCCCGACACUGUUCCAGAUCUCCCUGGAUAGGAGAGUCAGCUGGCGAUAGAACAGGUUCUGGACAAUAACCUGGAUUUAUGGUGGAGUGCAAUCGCAGCCGAGCUUCCCUCUCAGGUUGUACUGUGGGUUGGAAGCCCGGGACAUGUGGAGGAAGAACAGCGGCAGUCUGUACUGUAGCAGAUUGCAAUGAAGGUUGUUAUUUCCUCCCUUAGGUGUGUGACCGUGGCCACCAUUGGGGUCAUGAUGUCCCUGAUGUCCUUAAGCAUCUCUGUAUGGUGAUGAUGGAGUCUCCAUUUGAGUGUGUCUGCGAACUGCACCCUGAGAUACUCUGUAUGCUGAUUUAAACACUCCCUCAUUUGCUGCUGUCCUUCUUCUUGUACUUCUGAAAACGAAUUUUUAAGGGCAGACAGGGUGUCCAGCAUUUUCAAAUCAUGCAAUUGUUGCUCUGUCCUCCAUUGCUGAAUUAGGCAAUUCCUCUCUUUACUGAUUUUUUCCACAUCCGCCAAGGUUUGCUCGAUUCUUGGUUCUGGAGGUUUUAACAGAGGAGGAGUGAGAGUUGUAUUUCCUGUGAAUUCCAUGUCCAGUAAUGAUACAUUUGUGUUGUUAUUUUUACUCUCCUGUCCAGACAUUGAAUUAUUUUGACCAGGAGGGGGCAGAGUUCCAAGGUCAGCAGAUGGGAGGAGUUGCAUGUGUUCCUCCGUGCCAGCAGAGGGCAUUUUAUCCUGGCCAGGGCAUUCCUGAGUGGUGGAGAGGAGAGGAAGUUGCAAUUGGUCCUCCUGGCCACCAGAGGGCCCUGCUUCCCAGCAGAGAUCCACCAAAUCCAACAGCUCAGCCAUGCAAGCUUGUUGGAAAAUAAAAAUCUUGGUGCAAAAGUGUGUUUUUUCUGUUUUAAGGUCCUUUGUUUUGUGUAGAAGCCAGGGUGUGGUUUCGGUCCAAACUGGUUUGUUAGUAAGUGGCCUUUAGACUGGGGUGCCACUUUUUAUGUAGCGGUUAGACAGUGCCGGGGUGCCAGUCAGAGCUAAUCUGACAAUUUUCUUUGUAUUUUUUUUAGUUGUCAACCUUACACAGGACCCAUGCCUAACCAUGCAUGGACCCUACUAACAACCAGACUUAAGUCACCUUUGUCAAAGUCGACCCCUUAAUCACAAAACACACCACACAAGAUAUAGCAAUUCAACACAGUGUAUUAUACAAUUCAGUGCCCAAAAUACAACCCAUACUUGACACAGCCCAAAAUACCAAAAUAAGUCUCUUCCUUCCAAACAAAAAAUAGUC